UGGGAUUCUCUCUUCUUUCUAUGUAUUGGAUGUUUGGCAACGCGAGUGCCGCUCCCGAUUUUAGAUUUGAGCAACUAGCCAAAAUGGGUGCUGGAUGUGACUGGGCGGCUGUUUUAGCCAAGACACCCACCUACCAACACUCCGAAAGACUCAUGCUUUCCUUUUUUUUUGCUAUUUUUUCAUUUGGAUAUUUCCCCCAAAUGGCAGAGUCUUUCGGCGGGGUUUUCUUGUUCUUCAAAUUUCAAAACCCGGCGAGCGCUUCGACUUGAACUCUGCUCGGGAGGUUAAAGGGUAUCGCCCGCGAAUGCUUGAAUGCGCGACCAAUGAAAGCGCAGGGGAAUUUCGGUAUGAAUACAAAAUAGUUAACAUCGUUAACUAUUACGUAAUUCCGGUUCCAAUGAAUGUCUCGCUGAUCUGAGGAUCUUGAGAUAUGCUUGCCAUUCCGACUUCGAAAGUGAAAAAGGCAGGAGCGGAUUAGUUUGUUCUGGUGUCGCGAGUUGAAAUCCGAAGAAUAGUGAUUAAAUUUAGUCCAGUAGUUGUUUUCCGUGAAUUUAACUCUCCGCUUGUGUCCCCAUUGAGCGGAACUGAAGGAAAAAGCCGCUUCUGACCCACGAUCGGAGAUUGGAUUUCCGCCACCUUGUCCGUCAAUUCUAGUGGCCGCGCGGAGCGCAAACCAUCACUCGCGCAUCCAGGGAAGGCGCAUCACGACACAUCUACGAGUCGAACGCGCACUCAACGCCUACGGACUUACCAUUCAUCGCCUGGCGUGGAACGGCGAUAAGGUAGAUUCUCCACGUAAAACCUAGGUAGUGUGAGUAGAAAACUAUUUUUACCCUAAAAUAACAUGCGCAUGUAGGGUUAAAAGAACCAAAGAAUAAAACCACACACAACUAACAACGCCACACAACAAUGCCACAUGCAAUCGAAGCGUAGAGAUUUACCGACGGCGCGCUUAUGCUGAUCGCUAUUAAUAAAGGGUUACACAAGAUGCGAAAUUAGGCUUUGUAGAAUAAUCGCUGGACUUGAAUCAAUGGGUCCGAUGUUCGAAUCCCGUAAUAGUUAAAUAAAAUUGUUCAUGUAGUUAUUAUUUUUCGUUAAUUGGAAGUUUCGAAGUAAAUGUUGUAAAUAUAAUUAAAACUUGUGGGAUAAUA